UACUGACGAGAUGCGCAUUAACGAUCGGCCGAUCGUGAUGGGAGCAGCCCUAAUUUUGUCCUUCGUUAGAGGAGCCAAGGCUUCAAGGCAGACCGCUAGUAGGCCCUCACGUGCCGUGGUGGAGGUUCUGUCAUUGAGUGCUGUGUGUUCAUGCUUGGCCUUAUUGGUUUGCGUGUGUUGAGACGGUGCACAGGGUGGUAAGAGUGAUAUAGGAGCCUUGUGCUCAUUAAAAUAAUGUACCUGCCAUUGUUAAGCCUCUGCCUCCUUUUUGUUUCUUUGUCGUGAAUGUUGUAUGUUAACCUGGUCCCACAAUUUGUAAGUGUUGUUGGGUUUUUUUAGACUGCUGUUUAAUUACUGAAAUAAAGCUUUUGUAUUUUUUAUUUUUUUUUGUAUCCACGUCUCUGGCCCUCCUUUCGAAAACCACGCUCCUGCGUGCCCCUUGUAAGUGGUUGAAUUCAUUAGGAUUAAUAGUUCCCUGGUAAACAGGGUGGCGUAGUCUUGUAUAUGAAGAGGUAGUUUUCUUCUAUCAAUGUCCUGCUACAUCAGCUUGAUGCGUCCCAAAGACAGACCUUGCCAAUUUGAUGACCAUCGCCACAAGAUCAUGGGAACCAGACAAGUCCUUUGCUCCUGUGUUGCAGCCUGGAAUUAAACCACGCCAUGCUGGUUUCUUCUGGCCAUUGGAGAAUUGCCCAAUUUCUGUCACCGCUGAAUUGUUGAUUCCUUGCCACUGUGGCCUUUGGCUUGCUUAGUUAGAGAUGCUUUACUGACUGAUUGCACAGACACUUCGAUGAGAGCUGAACUGGUUGAUGACAUCACUGAAUCAUCAAUGAACUGACUUUAGCUGAAAAAUGACUCUGGUAUUGUUUUCUUGCAUUACUGAAAAACUUUUUUUCUGUUUGACACUGUAAAGCUGCUUUGAGCUAGAAUAAGCCAGUCAUCAAGGUAACUGAGAAUGUGAAUGCCCAAUUCCCUGAGAGGGGCAUGGGCAGCCUUCACAACUUUUUUUGAAGAAGCAUGGAGACAGGGACAGCCCAAAGGGAAGAACCUUGUACUUAUAUGCCUGCCUUCCAAAGGCAAACCAAAGAAAUAGCUUGUGCUUUGGAAGGACUGAAACAUGAAAGCAGGUGUCCUUCAGGUUUAUUGCCGCAACCAAUUUGAGUCCCUGACACAAGUUUGCAUGUGCUUGAGGGUCAGGUAUUCUGAACAGCAAGCAAGUCCAUUACUUUAGGUUGAAGAUUGUCCUCCACAUACCCCCUCUCUGGACCACUGUAGAGGUUGGUGAUCAUCUCUUGACCAAGAAGACGUCUAGGUCACCGGUUCUGUAAAGUCAUUAGAUUCUGAUGGUUCUAGCCCACCCUCUGAAGCUGCGAUCGACAGCUCAUCCUCUUCACACCACCUGAAUGAGAAAUUGGACUCGCCCUGAGAUGAGCUUUUAAACUCAUCAGCAAGGUCAACUGAAGGACAGUGUGAGAGUGAAUAAGUGUGAAAAGAACUGGGAGAGAUGUAGAAACCGAAUCCAAAAGGGCACAGAUGGAAAGGUAUGAUAUAUAAACACGAUUCCACCCGUGAAGCUUUUUUUUGUUUGUUGAGAAUUUAGUCUUGCAGGAGGAAAUUUGAUCUUAAAGAUCACAGUUGAAGCAUCCAGGGGUACUCUCACAACACUUGUGAGACAAGCUGUGUGUGGGGAGGGGACCUAGACCUGUGCUAUAGAUCCAAUAACGAGGAGAUAAAAAGGUGCAUGAAGGGCUUUUUUCUCACAGAGAGAUGCUGGCCUGUUUAUACUGGGGUGACUGAGGUGUGGCCAGCUAUGUAAAUUUCUCAAUGAUAUCAUAAGUGUCUGGGCUCCCAAGAGUGACACCUAGUAUUAGAACUUUUGAUAACAAUAAUGUCCUAUGCUAAUUAUUCCCAUAAUUUCCAGAAAAUAACAGCUUUUCUAAUUUUCAGUUUCAUGUUUAUCAAAUACAAAUGAUCUGUGAUAUUAUCAGGAAUCUGCAAUGAAAACAUGUGGUUUUCUGUGUUUUUGCACAGGAAACCAUUAACUUCCUCUUGUACAGAAACAUUAUGAGAGACUAAAAAAAAGAAAAGAAAAACAGGACAUAUCGCUUAACAUCCAAAUAAUAAUAUGAAUAACAGAAAUAAAGAAAUGGAGCUAGUUCACUCACUGGAUUUUGAUGUCUAUACCUCUAAUAUGAAAAACUCUUAAACGCUUUUAGCCUGUGUCUACAAGCUCUGAAGCCAUCUACUGUAUAUCAAUGGCAGCUCGUGGAGCCUCUCAAUAGUUCCCGGAAGUAGUAGCAAACCGAUGCCACACCGUAGAGAUGCAGCAGAACAAACCGUUUGUGAUGCACUAUUAAAAGGUGGAGGAUUAGUGGUGCCACUGAACUGUUCUGUGAUGGAGCAUCACUGAUGAUGCAGACCCAGGUAACUGGCUGAUGGUUCACUGGGAUGCUGACUUGCUGUUUGCUGUUUAAUUUCACAGUCACUUUCCCUUCUCUGAGUGUCCUCAUUCUUUUUUUCCUCAACCCUUGAAACUGAUAUAACCGAUAGGCAGAAUACAUGGUAUUGCUCAUUUUAAAUUUUGAAAAUGUCACAUCACUUUAAAACUAGAAACACAAGUUUGUACUAGUUAUAUAUAUAUCACCUGAAAUAAUAUAGCUGUGAUCAGCAGCGAUUUGCUGUAUGUUUACAGGACUAGGGGUGCAUUGUGCACAAAGAUUGUGGGAAUAGCACUUGGUCUAAGCCUACUCUUGAAUUUUUUGGUCAUGACAAAUUGGUUUGUCUCAAAAUGUGCCUGCAGAGUGACUUGAGUUUAGUUUCCACACACAACUUUUUCUUUUUUUUUUGUCUGCACACAUACGGUACAUAUCACAUAGUGGUUAAAUGCACAGUUAUAGGUAACACUGAUGACUCCCUGCAAUGCCUCACCAUGAGUCUCAGCUCCCUGGGUUUUGCAAGGCUUUGCUUGUUCCUUAUUUCUAGUAAAUAAUUUUUCCAUGUAAAAAAUGCAAAUAAAUUUAAGUAUAAACAUCUCACAAAUUUUUUUUGUUGUUGCAAUUUUUA